rnacentral:rRNA from 1 species
UACGAAGGGGGCUAGCGUUGUUCGGAAUCACUGGGCGUAAAGCGCACGUAGGCGGAUCUUUAAGUCAGGGGUGAAAUCCUGGAGCUCAACUCCAGAACUGCCUUUGAUACUGAGGAUCUUGAGUUCGGGAGAGGUGAGUGGAACUGCGAGUGUAGAGGUGAAAUUCGUAGAUAUUCGCAAGAACACCAGUGGCGAAGGCGGACUCACUGGCCCGGUACUGACGCUGAGGUGCGAAAGCGUGGGGAGCAAACAGGG